CGGAGAGCAGAGAGGGAGCGCGCCUUGGCUCGCUGGCCUUGGCUGCGGCUCCUCGGGAGAGCUGGGGCGCCCACGAGAGGAUCCCUCACCUGGGUCUCUCCUCAGGGAUGACAUCAUCCGUCCACCUCCUUGUCUUCAAGGACCACCUCCUCUCCAUGCCGAGCUGCUGCCAAGGGGCCUGCUGCCCAUCUACACCUCACGAGGGCACUAGGAGCACGGAUUCCUGGAUCCCACCAACAUACAAAGCAGCCACUCACAGACCCCCAGGACCAGGAUGGCAAAGGAUGAAGAGGACCGGAACUGACCUGCCAGCUGUCCCUCUUACCUAAAGACUUAAACCAAUGCCCUAGUGAGGGGGCAUUGGACAUUAAGCCCUGACUUUUGCUAUGCUCAUGCUUUGACUCUAUGAGUACUUUCCUAUAAGUCUUCGCUUGUGUUCACCUGCUAGCAAACUGGAGUGUUUCCCUCCCCAAGGGGGUGUCAGUCUUUGUCGACUGACUCUGUCAUCACCCUUAUGAUGUCCUGAAUGGAAGGAUCCCUUUGGGAAAUUCUCAGGAGGGGGACCUGGGCCAAGGGCUUGACCAGCAUCCUGCUGGCAACUCCAAGGCCCUGGGUGGGCUUCUGGAAUGAGCAUGCUACUGAAUCACCAAAGGCAUGCCCCACCUCUCUGGAGAUCUUCCUAUCCUUUUCUGGGGAAUGGGGUCAAUGGGAGCAACCUCCUAGGGUUGUUGUGAGAAUUAAAUGAGAUAAAAGAGGCCUCAGGCAGGAUCUGGCAUAGAGGAGGUGAUCAGCAAAUGUUUGUUGAAAAGGUUUGACAGGUCAGUCCCUUCCCACCCCUCUUGCUUGUCUUACUCGUCUUAUUUAUUCUCCAACAGCACUCCAGGCAGCCCUUGUCCACGGGCUCUCCUUGCAUCAGCCAAGCUUCUUGAAAGGCCUGUCUACACUUGCUGUCUUCCUUCCUCACCUCCAAUUUCCUCUUCAACCCACUGCUUCCUGACUCGCUCUACUCCGUGGAAGGGCACUCACAAAGGCACGUGGGCCGCGGCCCAGCUGGGUCGGCUGAAGAACUGCGGAUGGAAGCUGUGGAAGAGGCCCUGAUGGGGCCCACCAUCCCGGACCCGAGUCUUCUUCCUGGAGGGCCUCUCGUCUCCUUCCUGUUUUGGGCGGAAGCCAUCACCUGGAUUCCUACGUGGGAAGGGACCUCGAAUGUGCGACCCCAGCCCCUCUCCAGCUCGAAAUCGGCAGACUAGGAUGGAAGUGCCCUGCGAGCUGGGGGGCCCUUCAAAGGGCCAAGGAGAAAACGCAGGCCGAGGGACCAGCCUUCCAAAUGGGCUUCAAGCUCCAAUGACCUCCGCUCACCCCCUCGAAAUGUCUGGAAAACAUAAUGGGCAGAUUUUCUGUCUUCAAAGUUUCCGGCUAAACCUCUUCAAGUUCUUUAUUGUUUGGGACUGAGACACUCAGCCAUGGUAAUGGGUAGUUUCUUUUGUAUUUGCCUUGAAAGGCCAAAAUAUUUUUAUAUUGCCACAGACAAAGCCACCUAUUUAAAAAUGAACUCCAUGUCCGUCGUUUCCCACCAGGAGACUAUGUACCAUGUGUGUGUCUCUAUGUAUUCUGGGGUCUUGAAACAGGUUUCUCAUGGGGAUGGUCAUUCACCACGGUCCAGAGGGGCAGAACGGGCGGCGCUUGCCUUGCCCAGGGGGCCUGGGGAACGUGGGCCCUCAUCUCAGAUCUGCUCCCAGUAUGUCUAGGACGCGAGCCCCAGAAGGAUCUGGGAGUAAACUUAACAUUCACUGUGUCUCUGCUCUGCAUCCGCCAUUUGUGUGUGUUUCUGGACUGUGGACUGUGUGUACCUUGGUGGGUGACUCAGUGAGAAGAAGCAGGAAUGCCAAAGAUACUGUGAAUGUUCUGGGUUUUGUUGUUGUUGUUGUUGAGAGGUUGUUUCACUGGUGUCUAUUGCAUUAUAUAAUAAAUGACCAGAUGAAUGAAUGAGUGAAGCAAGAAAGAAUGAAUAAACAAAUAAAUAGGUAAAGAAGUAAGCAAGCCAGGAUGAGAGUGUGUGUACACAAGACCAUGGUUCAUCCACUUUGAUGCCUAGACAAUCAAUAUAUAAAUAGAAAAAACCCGGUGAAUCACUAAGUAAUAGGGCAACACACAAAGCGAUAUCAGUUGAUUAUGGAAUAAGGGAUAUGUGUAAUUCAAAUAUAUGCCUCUGACAUUUGACAAUGACAAAGAACCUAAAUGAAAAAAAGAAUGGCUGUGUGAGUAGCGAAGUGCAGAAUGAGACAUAGAUUUUGAGUCAAAAUGAAAAGAUGCAAGUUAAGGAACAAGUGAUCAAAAGGGAGAAGGGAAAGGUUUUUUUAAAAAACCGAAGCAACAAAUAAAAGAAAGGUUAAAAAGAAAAAAAAAAACUAGAGGAUGAGUAACAAGUAACUCUAUAAGGAGGACCAUGUCAGGCUACUGUAAGCCAAGCAUUAGGACUGAUACAAAUAAUAUAUGCUCCUGGCAUAGAAAAAUAAACCACAGAGAACGAGUUCAAAGAAUAGCAAAGAAAGAAAGAGGACCCGGUGGGCGAAAGAUGAGAGUGCACUUUUACCAAAAGUUAUCUAAGCCUGAGCACUUGAAGUCUGCAUAUAAAUAAAUAAAUGACAAAAGAAAGAAAAAAAGGCCAAAAA
rnacentral:lncRNA from 1 species